AGAGAGAGUCCUUGGAAGUGCAGAAGGAGAGCUGUUGUGCAAUUCACAUUUUAACAAGUUCCCAUUAUAGCACUUCCCUACAGCACUUGCUUAGGAAACUGGGAGGAUUGCCAUUCCCACAGAUCUUAUGUAAAGGAUAAGAAUGACAACCAUAGCAUGAGUCAUGAUGAUACAUUACUGAUGGCCCAGGAUGCUUCUUCAAGCGUGAUUACUUGGAUUCAUUCUGCUCUUGCCCAGAUGUUCAGGCUCUGUUGCUCCCAUCCCACCCUGACCAAGAUCACGAGGCACCCACCAGACUUCCACACUCCUCUCCACCCAGCCUGCAGCUGGAGCCACACCCCAUCUCCCAGGACCUAUGCUGGUACUACUACUCUUUCUAGAUAAGAGUAAUUUUUUUAGAAUAUUGGCUUUCUCUCCCUUAAAGAAUUCAGAGUUCAGGUAAGUUGGGCAGCACUGCAUAUAACUUUCUUUUAGAGAUUUACAAUUCAUGUUAGUAUUUUUUUUUUAAUUAAAAUCCAAGUUA